UACGGGGGGGGCAAGCGUUGUUCGGAGUUACUGGGCGUAAAGGGCUCGUAGGCGGCCAACUAAGUCGGAUGUGAAAUCCCCAAGCUUAACUUGGGAACUGCAUCCGAUACUGGAUGGCUUGAAUCCGGGAGAGGGAUGCAGAAUUCCAGGUGUAGCGGUGAAAUGCGUAGAUAUCUGGAGGAAUACCGGUGGCGAAGGCGGCAUCCUGGACCGGCAUUGACGCUGAGGAGCGAAAGCUAGGGGAGCAAACGGG
rnacentral:rRNA from 1 species